CAAAGUAACUUAGGUUGAGGUUGAGCUUGCUCCCUCGCCCAAGAGUUAGCCAAUCUAUAUUCCUGCGCCCUGAACAUAACGGACCUAAUGGACCUGUUGGUCUUGGGCUAAACCAUAGGAAGGACAUCA
rnacentral:snoRNA from 19 species